rnacentral:rRNA from 1 species
UACGAAGGGGGCUAGCGUUGCUCGGAAUCACUGGGCGUAAAGGGCGCGCAGGCGGUCUUGAAAGUCAGGCGUGAAAGCCCCGGGCUUAACCUGGGAAUUGCGCUUGAUACUCUGAGACUGGAGUACGGGAGAGGAGAGUGGAAUUCCCAGUGUAGAGGUGAAAUUCGUAGAUAUUGAGAAGAACACCAGUGGCGAAGGCGGCUCUCUGGACCGUAACUGACGCUGAGGCGCGAAAGCGUGGGGAGCAAACAGG